UGAAAAUGGAGGAAGACUCUUAUCUUGAGGGUAACCAACUCAGCCAAUCAAAUGAUAUCAAUACUCCCUUAUUUAUUUAAGGGAGGAAAUAAAUUAAGUAUUGUAGUUCUUGUUUUUUUUACGAACCUAAGUUGGUAGCAUUAGAUACAGGGUCAUUAGGACUUCCAAGUCUGAAAUCGAUCCCACCACUUACAAAGAAUACAGUCUGAUUUAAGUUUGCUUCCAAUUCAUGAGGAGGUUGCUAAAAGGUUUAAAUAGUAAACCGGACAUUCCAAUUCAAAUGAACUGAUAACGGGGGGAAAUGGGUGGUGUUGGUAAAUGAUGCAAAUUUGCAUAAGUGUCUUGGGAUAUACCGGAUUGGGUAUUGUACUGUCAAAUUUCUUAUUCGUGAUGCACCUUAUGCUAUGGGUAGCUCAUGAAGCAGUAACUGUUUUUUGGCAAGUAGCUCUUAAUACUAUCACUUCAUCCAGCUCCAGAAACUUUAAUCAGCAUCCGGUACCUAAAAUGAUAACAGGGCCCCUCGAAUGAUUUUGAGAGUUGCUAGCCUAGUUUACGCACA
rnacentral:lncRNA from 1 species